rnacentral:lncRNA from 1 species
GGAGGCAGGCAACACCAGCCCUCAGGCUACACUCUCCAUUUGGAGCAGAGCUUCUUCGGCAGCCCCAGGUCUCCCGGGAUCUUCCUCGGUGUCCUGCGGAGGCUCUGGCUCCAGCGUGGGCUCCAGCGCAGGCUGGGCUUCCGGCUGGGCUUCAGCGCUCCGGCCAGGCCCAAGGCGAGGCGGCUUGACCGGGGUGGGCGGUGGCGCUGCAGGGCCUUUCCGGCCCGAAAGGGCCCUUCGGAGGCUCUGUACCUUCUGCAAUCCGGUGCGCCGCAGCCGCUGGGCCCUGGACUCCACCGGCUCCUCGUCCGAGCUCUCUCCAACUUCGGCCUCCAGCUGCUCUGGGCCCAGCUCGGACUGGUCCGCCGGGCCCAAGGGCUCUGGUGCCUUCUGGAAAGCGCUGGCUGGGACUUCACCCUCCUCCUGCAUGUGACGGACACAGCACUGAUCCUGGCAGCUCCUUACCCCCAGCAGCCCGAAACUCACUCCUUAAUUACACAAGGGAAACCUUUUACCUCCGCAGCCAGAGUCUGGGGGGAAAGGCAGGCGUGGGAAGCACUAACUCCCUCUCUGGAUAUCUGGAACAAGGAGGACCUUAAACUUAACAAUAAAGCCAAUGAUGGUUCUACCAGUCUCCCCAAAGCCUCAAGUUUAAAAGCCAUAUGAACUGGCUGAUAGUGGAAAAUGGAAGCCAUGAGGAAAUCAGAUUAGAGUACUACCUGGUGAAGCCUGGAGGACCUACCAAGAAAAGCAAACUUGGAUCUUUGCAAGGUUAGAAGAACGAAUGGGAUCCAAGAAAAAGACUGGUCAUAUUCAACGGCUAAGAGCGUUGGAGAAGGCCUGUGGAGUCUCAGCAGGUCAGGUCCAUGACUCAUGAGUAGACACCUGUGUUUCUACUGCCUGGUGCCAUAAUCAUAAACAAGAGUAAUCAGCAAAUGCCUUUCCUUUCUCCUGCUGAUGUUUUGCCCGUACUCAGACCCCUUGACUUCUUAGCUUCUACCCAAAGUGAGCUUGUCAUCAAAGUUCUCCAAAAAUCUGCAGUGUUCUCUUGAGCAAAUCUGCUUCCAAGACUAUAGCGCUCUGAUGCAUUGAGAUGACAGCAAGCGGCAUUUUUCAGUCCUGUUACCCAUAUGGCUGCUACCACUGCAUCCUGUUAAAUAAUGUCUUCAACCCAAGAAACCUGCUUCCUAGGGAAGUUUCUCUCUCUCUGCAUUUGUUCCCACUAGAGAAUGACCAUCACCAGAUUCCUGAACUGAAAAUGCUGUUGACACUUUGGAAACUCGGGCCUCUAUUAAUAGGGUGACCAACUAUCCUGGUUUACCUUGAGUACAGGAUUUUCAAUGCUAAAACCAGAAAAACCAGGAUGGUUGGUCAUCUGCCUCAGACCUAAUAAAUACCAGUCAAUAAUUCAGCCAUGAGCUUUCUUAAGACACUGUCUUUUCUUGACUGUUGAAUAGUCUAGGACUUGAGUAGCAGCUCUUUCUGCUACUGGACACUUGUUUUACUACCCUAUUUCUCUAGAUUUUAUUUUGUGGCUAAUAAUUAAGACAUAAAAUCAUGGGUUCUGGUUAUGCCAAAGCACUCACUCUUCAAAAGUUUCCAUCCAGAGUUGGAUAAUCCCACACAGAAGGUGUUCUUUCAACAGACCAGCAUCCAAUAGACCCAAUGCAGCAUUUUUCUUCCUGGUUCCACAUUAAUACAUCCUAUCUCUGCUAUGCUUAGGUCCCUGAUUUAUAAAUAUUUCAGACAUAUUUUCUCAGGACACAGGGAGUACUUAAACUUCCACAUAGCAGAGAUACGACAUACAAUAAGCUGUUAUCUGGAAACUCCUAGUGAUGCUUUGAGUACUUUACAGUAAUCUUUCUGGUCUUCCUCUCAACCCCAUUAAGUUUUUCUGUAACUAGCUGGUGUAUCUGUCUCCAUCUUUAAGGAAUAAGUCCCUAUUUGCUCAUGCUAUAAUCUCCCUCAUGCUCUCCGUCCCUCCUUCCCUCUCCUUCUCUCUUUCUGUCUCUCUCUCUCUCCACCCUGAUUGUGAGAUGCUACACCUUAAUAGUUUUCUAUACCUAGAUCCCUUUUGAAGGAGUAAUUUCAGCCAUCACUGAAAUCUAUGCUUUUUUAUCUUGUUAGAUUUAUUUAGGACCUAAUGACUGUUUCUGAGCUAAUAAUAACGCAAUCAGCUCAUAUUUUUCUGAUACUCUAAGAGCAAUUACAUCUAGUUGCAUCACCUUUUCCUUUUUUAUUCAUGUAUCUUAGGCUUCUCAAGAUAUGAGACUAGCACUUGAGCCUGAGAUAAGCCUUAAGAAUUCCAGGAUAGUCUCUCCAUAGUUCCCUUUCUUGGAUAAAGUCAUUUCAAAACAUCUUAGUGGAUCAGAUUUGGAGCAGCCUACUUACACUGGUGAAUACCACAACUAAUAAAUAAUUGUUCUGCACCCCACCCACAUCUAAAGGAUUCAGGGUGUCUUUUACAGAUAUAGGACUCUCCUUUCUCUGUUUCUCUUCUCUCUCUUCUCCUUGAUUAAAGCUUUGCUUCAGCUGUCCCUGCUCACUACGGCACUGCACCUCACCAGCAUCUUCAUGGCCCUCACAUGGCUCAUGUGCAUAUCCUAACUCUGAUACUAAGGGAGGAGACCACCCCUCAUAUUGUCUUAUGCCCAAUUUCUGCCUCCAAAGAAAGAAGAAGUAAAAACUAAAAGGCAGAAAUGAAAUCCACAAGCAGACAGCCCGGCGCCACACCCUGGGCCUGGUAGUUAAAGAUCGACCCCUGACCUAAUCGGUUAUUUGCAUAAGAAAAGCACUGUGAAGAUCCCUGUCCUGUUCUGUUCCAUUCUAAUUACCGGUGUAUGCAGCCCCCAGUCAUGUACCCCUGCUUGCUCAAUCGAUCACGACCCUCUCACGUGGACCCCCUUAGAGUUGUGGGCCCUUAAAAGGGACAGGAAUUGCUCACUCGGGGAGCUUGGUUGUUGGAGAUGUGAGUCUUGCUAAAGCUCCCAGCCGAAUAAAG